rnacentral:rRNA from 1 species
GAUGAACGCUAGCUACAGGCUUAACACAUGCAAGUCGAGGGGCAGCAUGAACAAAGCGUGCUUUGUUUGAUGGCGACCGGCGAACGGGUGCGUAACACGUAUCCAACCUGCGCGCGGCUCGGGGAUAGCACAUCGAAAGAUGGAUUAAUACCCGAUGGCGAGGUCACUCCGCAUGGAGUUUCCACGACAGGUUUUCCGGCCGCGGAUGGGGAUGCGUAUGAUUAGGUAGUAGGCGGGGUAACGGCCCACCUAGCCUUCGAUCAUUAGGGGUUCUGAGAGGAAGGUCCCCCACACUGGAACUGAGACACGGUCCAGACUCCUACGGGAGGCAGCAGUGAGGAAUAUUGGUCAAUGGGCGAGAGCCUGAACCAGCCAAGUAGCGUGAAGGAAGACUGCCCUAUGGGUUGUAAACUUCUUUUGUUCGGGAAUAAAGUGCAGUACGCGUACUGUUUUGUAUGUACCGUUCGAAUAAGCAUCGGCUAAUUCCGUGCCAGCCGCCGCAGUAAGAC